rnacentral:ncRNA from 1 species
AAUAAAUUUAUUAUGGUUAAAAAAAAUUUAUUAUGAACUUAUUUUACAUAUAAAUUUUAGUGAGAAAUUUUAAUUAUUUUAAUAAUAAUUGAAUUUUUGGGUAGUAAUUAACAUUAAAAAUUUAAGAAAUUAAGAUUUAGUAAUGUCGAAAUUAAUAACUAAUUUUGUGCCAGCAGUUGCGGUUAUACAAAAAUUAAGUUAAAUUUUUUUAGUAAUUAAUUAAUAAAAAUAAAAUUAAUUUAAAUUUUAAAUUAUUAGGUGAAAUUUUAAUUUAAUAAAAAAUUAUUAAAAAUUUAUGAUUUAAUAAAUUUUAUAAAAAACUAGGAUUAGAUACCCUAUUAUUAAAAAAUUAAAUAAAUAAUACUAAAAUAGUAAAUAAUUUAUUGAAACUUAAAUAAAUUGGCGGUAUUUUAGUUCAUUCAGAGGAAUCUGUUUAAUAAUUGAUAAUCCACGAAUAAAUUUACUUAAUUUAUUAUUUUGUAUAUCGUUGUUAAAAAAAUAUUUUAUUAUAAUAAUAAUAUUUUAAAAUUUUUAAUAAAAAUUAAAUCAGAUCAAGAUGCAGAUUAUAAUUAAGAAUAUAAUGGAUUACAAUAAAAUUAUUUAUUAAUGAAUAUUAAGUUGAAAAAUUUAAUUGAAAGUGGAUUUGAAUGUAAUUUUAUUUAAAUUAAUAAAAUGAUUAAUAAUUAAAAUAUGUACAUAUUGCCCGUCGCUUUCAUAAAUAAAUUGGAAUAAGUCGUAACAAAGUAGAGGUACUGGAAAGUGUUUCUAGAAAGAA